GGAAAAGGAACAAAGCUGCGCAGCCUGGGUCUGCAGGAGGAAAAAUAUGGUUUCAGGGCAAGAAGAGAGAACUGGACGGUGAUGAAAACCGCGCCGCUGAGCCAGAGAAAAGAGCUAGAGACUAAGAAAACAGAAGGAGAUGCUGGAGACCUGAAAUGUAAUCUGAAGUCUUAGGAAUAUAAAAUGUGGGGAGCCUGUAACCUUUCUAUAACUAUGAACGGAGACCAUCUGAGAAUGAGAGCAACAUACAGAAGAGAGAGGAGCUGACGUGAGACCAGGUCCUGGAGACAUUUCCAGAGCACCUGUGUGAAGCAACAGGCAAAGCCUCUUGGCUGACUUAAUCUGCACAGUUUCCAAGACAUUUGGAAGGUUCUUGACAGUGAAAAGAAAUACUGAAGGAAGUUGAGCCCUGCUUUAUCCAGCAAAAGGUUAUAUUUACCUACAUACUCACGAGCUAACUGGGGAGAGAAAAACUGUAUUCAAUUCUUGGGCAUAUUUCUAAUAAAAUUUCAGUUCUCAAAGAGGAGGAGAACAUGGCGGACAGACAACAGCAACUACCGAAGGCUCUCUGGAAGACUCGGCUCAGAGGCCAGGAAUGAUGCGGACUAAGGAGUCACGAACCAGUAGAGAUAUGCUCUGCUGACUCAGGAACGAACUGGGCUGAGAGACACCAACUUAAAAUAUAGUCCUGGCGCUAAAAUAGGAACAGAAAAGGCUCGGUGUGGAGGCUCGACUACGCGCCAUUGGAAACCGCGAUUUGGGUAUCCCGCUGCGAUUUGGGUUUCCCGCCGCCCGGCGGCUGGCUGCCUCCACAAGCGGCUCGGCAAGGAGAGACGCGCAGAAGCUCGGGAACGGGAGUCUGCGAACGGAGUCGAAAACAGGACGGACAAGAAGGCGUACACGAAAACUGACUGGUGGAGAGGUG